CAUGGCGGAUGUAGUACGUGCGAAUUCCAUUCAUACUACCCUCAUUCAUACUAUAUAGAAUGUACUAUUUUAACGGUCGAGUAGUACGUUCGAAUUCACAUGUAGUACCUACACAAGUAGUAUGCGAUUUCGGACGCAGCCUGGGUGUUUUUCAAAAACUGCGCGCAUUUUUCAGUCAGUCACAUCCGCCCAUCCCCCACAGCUCACAGUCAUGGACAGGAUUACAGCCGGACUGCUCGCGACGCGGUCACGGAAAAUAACAGCUGGACACAGACAAACGAGUCCCGCGAAUGGUAUUUUUAAACUGGAGAGACAGUUGACAGGAAGAUGUGGUCAUCUCUAACCGUCACUCUAGCCACAGUUCUCAAGCAAGGGACAAUAAUGGCAUCAGCCAUUCAAGUUAUGAUCCUGGCAGAUCUACUACUAUCUGAAAAGUAGUCUCUGCAGAUUGUUUCAAGAUACACAAGAUGGAGCGUGGAGAGACAGGACAUGGACAUGGACCACAGUUUUUCAGCACCCACACUCAAAUUCAUAUAGAAGUUCUCAAUUAUUAAAUGUUAAUAUGAUAGUUUAUAUUUAGCUGUGAAGUUAUAGUUCAUUGUCAUAAAUAUUAAACUACAUAUUAUUAUUAUUAUCAUUAUUUUACAUGAUAUGCAAAUUUCACCAAUUUGUUCAAUGUGUUAAUGAAAUUUUUGAAAGUGAUUAUCUUUAAUAAUUCAGAUACCUGUUGAAAUGCACAUGUAAUUAUAUACUUGCUCGUAUCUGGAAGGUUGUGUUAAUGAAAAUGAUGUUGAAAGCGAAUGUUGCAAUAUUGCUAAUCUUAAAAUAACAUUUUAUUAAACUAAACUUUGUAAUGUUCCAAAUAAAUGUUUUUAGGAUGUUGUAUUUUUAAGAAAAUGUAGGUGGAAAUAAAGUUGUAGGAACAUUAUGCUAACCAUAAAAUAAUGUUCCAGCAACGUUAGGCAAACUGGACAUUUUGACGUUCUUGGAAUGUUCCAAAUAAACGUUAAUAGAACAUUAUAUUUUUAAUGAAAAUUAGGUUGCAAGAACAUUGCAGGAAAGUUAUGCUAACCAUAAAAUAACGUUCUAGCAACGUUAAGCAAACUGGACAUUUUAACGUUCUUGGAAUGUUCCAAAUAAGCGUUCAUAGAACGUUAUAUUUUUUAAAUGAAAUGUAGGUUGCAGGAACGUUAUGCCAACCAUAAAAUAACGUUCUAGGAACAUUAAGCAAACUGGACAUUUUAACAUUCUUUGAAUGUUCCAAAUAAACGUUCAUAGACCGUUAUAUUUUUAGUGAAAUAUAGGUUGCAAGAAUGUUGUAGGAACGUUAUGCUAACAAAAAAAAAAUAACGUUGUAGGAACGUUAAGCAAACUGGACAUUUUAACGUUCUUCGAAUGUUCCAAAUAAACGUUCAUAGAACGUUAUAUUUUUAGUCAAAUUUAGGUUGCAAGAACGUUGUAGGAACGUUAUGCUAACCAUCAAAUAACGUUCUAGCAACGUUAAACAAACUGGACAUUUCCACAUUUUUGGAACAUUCCAAAUAACGUUCCCACAACCAAAACCAAAACGUUCUCAGAACAUAAAUUUGUUAGCUGACAUGCAAGUGUGCUAUACCUUAUGAUAAACUGCAACGAUUUGAGUUAAAGUCAUGUUUUUAGUAACUUUACUAUUACAAAUUAAGUGUUUGCAGUUUUAUAUUAAGAAAUGUUCCUUCUUAGUAGAAUCAAAUGAAAUAAGUUUACCAAAUGUUUACACCAUCACAACAAUUUUACAGCAUGCAAGAGUUUGCUGUAUUUUUUACAGUACAAUUGUAAUUAUUGAUUUACAGUACUCUUGUAAAUUUAAAGUCUUACUGGCAACCAAAAUUGCCAGUAAGUUACUGUACAUUUUACAGCAAUUUUUUACAGUGUAGCUACUGUACAACGCCACAUACAUUCAGUGUUAACUCCGCGGUAGAGCUACUCUCACGGGACACUGCACUUAUUUGCCGUCACAAAAGUACAUUAUCUGCAUCUGCUUCAAAGACUUACUGGUUAAACGAUUCAUUCGUGUGCUGUUCUGACGAGCGCCUUUUCUGAGCACAUACACCCAAAGCGCCUGCUCUAAAAGUUAUGUUUUGUGCUAAUACUGUCAAAACACACAAUGUUUAUGUAUAGACUCAGUUGGUUAUGUCUAAAAUGAAAGUAAACAGCUGAGAGAAUCGGAUGCGUGUCUGUAUAUUAGAUGCGUGCAGGUCUUAAAGGGACAGUGCUAAACAUGCUGCCGACUGUAAUUAAAGGGAUAGUUCACCCUAAAAUUGUAAUUCUGUCAUUAUUUACUCACUCACAUGUUGUCCCAAACCUGUAUUAAUUUCUUUCUUGUGCUGAACACAAAAGAGGAUAUUUUGAAGAAUGUGGCUAACCAAACAGUUGCUGGUCCACAUUGACUUUAACAGUAGGAAAAAAAAUACUAUGGAAGUCACUGUAGACCAGCAACUGUUUGGUUUUCCACCUUCUUCAAAAUAGCAUUUAUUUUCAGCAGAAGAAACUCAUUCAGGUUUAAAACAACUUUUGAGUGAGUAAAUGAAUGUAUAAAAAUAAAACACUAGCCUAUUUUAAUUUUGGGGUGAAUUAUUCCUUUAAUGUUAAUAAAACACCAAACACAAAGAGAAAAAUCACUUACUACUCUUGACUGAAAAACUUGAAUACAGUUGCUUUAAUAGGAAUCAGUCUAAAUAGUGUUUUAUUUUUAUAUUUGUUCAUUCAAUUUCUUGAAUGUUCCUGCUAAAUACACCUAUUGUAGACUACCUGAAAAUAAAACACUGUUUAUUUUAUUUGUAUAUUAUGUGUAUUUGUAAUGUGUAUCUUUGCUCUAUUUUUUUAAUAACAAAGAUAAAAUCAUGACAACGAUUUUUAUCUUCACCCACUUUGGCCUAAAUAUCCGCCAUACUUUUUAAUAUUUUGUUACCUUGAAAGGCUUUGUCUUUAUAGUAGGGAAAUUAGUUUGGCUGUACUGCUCAAACAACUUGCAAAAUAGAGAAUCCAACAUGACAAAGAAUUGUGAUAAUAUUGUGAAUCGUGAUAUUUCUAAAAGAAAUUGUGAUAUUUUUGCCAUAUCGCCCACCCCUAGCCGAGGGGGACCAAACCCUUAACCCCCCCCCCAUUAUGCCCCUGCCCCUCCGGAGGUCUGUGUGCACCACUGAUAGUAUGAGUAACAGGACUGUAAAAUAAAGUGCUACAAAGAUUUCUGGUAUAUAGUUUCAGAAGGUUGUAUAGGCCUCAACACUUGCCACACAAUGAUGAAAAUGGAAAGUUUUUAUGUAGCUUAAUGAAAAUUUAAUUUCUUAGUAUUUGAAAAGGUUUUUUAAACUGGAAAAUAUGUAGUUGCUUUUUUACAGCUUGACACAUUAUGACUGCAUGUAUGAAGUGUUGCCUGGCGUCUGUCCAUGCUGCAUGCUCCGAGUGCAGCCUCUGUGUCUGUCGAUGUAGCUGACAUAAUUUGGUGUGGCUUCCUCAAGAGAUGAGAAGCUGCUAAAAAUACAGCCCCGAAACUACCUUCUUUAAAGAGCAAAGGCCAGACACAUUGAGAAAAAAAAUACACUUUGACCCCCAUAUACAAACUUCUUUUGAAUGGCUGUAUGAUUCUAUAUGCUUAUGAAACAUUAUGUAGUGGCAUGCUUUACUUAGAACUGUUGUGAAGUAAGAGAAAUGAAGUAUGAGAAAUGUUUUGGGGCCUAAAUAUAGGGGGACCGAGCUUUAGAAGUAUGAUAUAGUAGAGUGUUUUUGACUUUCUUACCAUGUGUGGAAAAGUACAGCUGCUAAGAGAUUUUUAACCUUGAGUAGGGAAGAGAUAUAAGGUGGAGGAGCACCCUCCCUCUUUGUCGCACUCUGCAGAAACCUGUGUGUCUGUUUGAUU